rnacentral:rRNA from 1 species
AUUGAACGCUGGCGGAAUGCUUUACACAUGCAAGUCGAACGGCAGCAUAGGUGCUUGCACCUGAUGGCGAGUGGCGAACGGGUGAGUAAUACAUCGGAACGUGCCCAGUCGUGGGGGAUAACGUAGCGAAAGUUACGCUAAUACCGCAUACGAUCUAAGGAUGAAAGCGGGGGACCGUAAGGCCUUGCGCGAUUGGAGCGGCCGAUGUCAGAAUAGGUAGUUGGUGUGGUAAAGGCUCACCAAGCCGACGAUCUGCAGCUGGUCUGAGAGGACGACCAGCCACACUGGGACUGAGACACGGCCCAGACUCCUACGGGAGGCAGCAGUGGGGAAUUUUGGACAAUGGACGCAAGUCUGAUCCAGCCAUUCCGCGUGCAGGACGAAGGCCUUCGGGUUGUAAACUGCUUUUGUACGGAACGAAAAAGCUCUUACUAAUACUAGGAGUCCAUGACGGUACCGUAAGAAUAAGCACCGGCUAACUACGUGCCAGCCGCCGCAGUAA